GAGGCUAUAGCUCAGUGGUAAAGUGCAUGCCUUGAAAGUGUGAGGCACUGAGUUCAACCCUCAGCACCACA
rnacentral:tRNA from 1 species